CUUGACAUCCAGAGAAUUUAGCAGAGAUGCUUUAGUGCCUUCGGGAACUCUGAGACAGGUGCUGCAUGGCUGUCGUCAGCUCGUGUUGUGAAAUGUUGGGUUAAGUCCGCAACGAGCGCAACCCUUAUCCUUUGUUGCCAGCACGUAAUGGUGGGAACUCAAAGGAGACUGCCGGUGAUAAACCGGAGGAAGGUGGGGAUGACGUCAAGUCAUCAUGGCCCUUACGAGUAGGGCUACACACGUGCUACAAUGGCGCAUACAAAGAGAAGCGACCUCGCGAGAGCAAGCGGACCUCAUAAAGUGCGUCGUAGUCCGGAUUGGAGUCUGCAACUCGACUCCAUGAAGUCGGAAUCGCUAGUAAUCGUAAAUCAGAAUGUUACGGUGAAUACGUUCCCGGGCCUUGUACACACCGCCCGUCACACCAGGGGAGUGGGUUGCAAAAGAAGUAGAUAGCUUAACCUUCGGGAGGGCGUUUACCACUUUGUGAUUCAUGACUGGGGUGAAGUCGUAACAAGGUAGGCGUAGUGCU
rnacentral:rRNA from 1 species